CGCGGCGUGCUCCUGGUGCUGUGUCUUAUGCCCAGGGUGUUAAUGAGCACAAGCCUGUUGCUUGAGAUGAACUGGUGCAGCUUCGAGAAUAAAAGGGAAAUGGCAGUGAAAUUACCUGAUGGUGAGUAGAUCAGAUGUUCCUGACAGUUUGCUCAGGUCUGCCAUCACCUGUCAGCUGACUUACCUGCCUUGAGCACCCAUCUCUAACCCUGCUCAUGUAGAAAAAGAUGUGCCCCCUUAUCAUGCACUGUUGCAAAGUAGCCCUGUAGUGUGGCCACAUGGCUGCCUGAACUUGACCUGAGCAGAUAGCCACAAGGAAAUAGAAACACACCCCCCUCCCGACUUUUUCAGGAAUUUUGAGGCCUGUUUCCCAUUCCUCCCUAAAUAGCUAGUCAACUGUCCCCUUCCAGGUGACAUCAGGCACAGACCCCUCCUGGGGGCCUGUCUGGAACUUCCCAUAAAAGAAAAAGAAUUACCCACAAAGGAAGAAUCUGCCCUAAACCUUCAAAGGCCCUAGAAAACCUAACUCACAGCUCUCCCUGGCCAAGAUUGUUGGGGAAGCUGACCAAUCCCUUAUCUGAGGGGGGGUGACC